rnacentral:rRNA from 1 species
AGUGAACGCUGGCGGUAGGCCUAACACAUGCAAGUCGAACGGCAGCACAGUAAGAGCUUGCUCUUACGGGUGGCGAGUGGCGGACGGGUGAGGAAUACAUCGGAAUCUACUUUUUCGUGGGGGAUAACGUAGGGAAACUUACGCUAAUACCGCAUACGACCUACGGGUGAAAGCAGGGGAUCUUCGGACCUUGCGCGAUUGAAUGAGCCGAUGUCGGAUUAGCUAGUUGGCGGGGUAAAGGCCCACCAAGGCGACGAUCCGUAGCUGGUCUGAGAGGAUGAAUCGCCCCCCCGGAACUGGAGCCCCGGCCCGACCCCCUAGGGGGGCCGGAGUUGGGAAUAUUGGACAAUGGGCGCAAGCCUGAUCCAGCCAUACCGCGUGGGUGAAGAAGGCCUUCGGGUUGUAAAGCCCUUUUGUUGGGAAAGAAAAGCAGCAGGUUAAUACCCCGCUGUUCUGACGGUACCCAAAGAAUAAGCACCGGCUAACUUCGUG